UACGAAGGGGGCUAGCGUUGCUCGGAAUCACUGGGCGUAAAGGGUGCGUAGGCGGGUCUUUAAGUCAGGGGUGAAAUCCUGGAGCUCAACUCCAGAACUGCCUUUGAUACUGAAGAUCUUGAGUUCGGGAGAGGUGAGUGGAACUGCGAGUGUAGAGGUGAAAUUCGUAGAUAUUCGCAAGAACACCAGUGGCGAAGGCGGCUCACUGGCCCGAUACUGACGCUGAGGCACGAAAGCGUGGGGAGCAAACAGGGAUUAAGAAACCCGUGGUA
rnacentral:rRNA from 1 species